CUUCGGGGACAAAGUGACAGGUGGUGCAUGGUUGUCGUCAGCUCGUGUCGUGAGAUGUUGGGUUAAGUCCCGCAACGAGCGCAACCCUUGAUUUUAGUUGCCAGCAUUUAGUUGGGCACUCUAAAGUGACUGCCGGUGCAAGCCGGAGGAAGGUGGGGAUGACGUCAAAUCAUCAUGCCCCUUAUGACCUGGGCUACACACGUGCUACAAUGGAUAGUACAAAGGGUCGCGAAGCCGCGAGGUGGAGCUAAUCCCAUAAAACUAUUCUCAGUUCGGAUUGUAGGCUGCAACUCGCCUACAUGAAGCCGGAAUCGCUAGUAAUCGUGGAUCAGCAUGCCACGGUGAAUACGUUCCCGGGCCUUGUACACACCGCCCGUCACACCACGAGAGUUUGUAACACCCGAAGUCGGUAGGGUAACCUUUAUGGAGCCAGCCGCCGAAGGUGGGACAGAUAAUUGGGGUGAAGUCGUAACAAGGUAGCCGUAUCGGAAGGUGCGGCUGGAUCACCUCCUUU
rnacentral:rRNA from 1 species